rnacentral:lncRNA from 1 species
CGUAAAUAAUUUUUGUAGCGUAAAAGCUAAAUAAAUUCAUACAUACUGUAAUACAGUAAGUCAGGGUAUGUAAUUUAAUUUACAAUAACAAGAGGGCCCCCCGAAUAAAUAAAAGUAAAGAGACUGUGAACCUACAGUUUGAAAAAUGCAGAUCUAACGGUAGUCUUUGAUGAGAUCAGCUAUCUACAGUCUAUACUGAACCUGAAAUGGAUGGAAAGGAGGGUGGUGAGAUUAUAAAAUCCCAAUGAGUAAACAGACAUUAUCAUAAACAUCUAGAGUUGAGUACAUGGAGACAAUAAAGUAAAUCAUCGUAAACUGGGUCACAGUAUUAGAACACAUUUCAUUCAAAUUAUGUAAAGAGGCUUAUGAAUCUCAUAAAAACUAGGCUUGUGCCAUAAAUCCAUUCUUAGGGACACCUUGGCCGAGGCAUCCUACCGAGACCGCCAAGGCUGUUAAAAAUUCACAUUUCGCAAAAAGCAUAUUUUUAUUUUGAAACAUAGCCAUUCCUUGGCGUUGGCUGAGUUUCCCCUCACGUGGUGAUUUGGCGUGAAGUGAACCCUAAGCUUUACCCCAGGAGAUACCCUACAUGCCUUUCCAUUCUAGGUAAGAAUAUAAUGGGGUUUACUAUGCCCCUCUAAAAGGCUGGUCCACAGAAACUCCCUACUGCAAUGAUUAAUUAAUAUAUAAUCCACCAUAUAAUAAAAUUUUGACGGCAUGACAGGGCUAAUGAAAUACUACCCAACUUGCAAAGGUAAAAUGAAACAAUUCAUACAAUUCAUAAAACACAGCCCAGCCAGUCAUGUUAACACAAUAACAAUAUAACAUAAGCCAUCAAUUUAAACAAUCAAAUUGCCACAAUUAACAGUCUCCAUGUACUCUAUUUUUCAAAAUCAUUAUUAAUUUCAAAACAAUUAUAAAUUAAUUUCAUUGGAACACCUUUAUUCAUAAAAUAUGAAAAUUUACCUUUUUAAAUCCAUUUUUCCAUAGAAUUCAUGAAAUCAUCUAAAAACCACCCUAGAUAAUUAAAAUGACAGUAAGUUUACUCACAAUGUCUAGAAUGCAGACUUUCGAAGUACUCUGUCUACUGGUCCUCAGAUGCAAUUUUCUUGCCUUUAUCGGAGGAUUCACCACCUUGACACAGUACAAAAUCGAGAAAUUCACCACAUUGAUACUAAAUUGAAAUUAAACUAAUUUAAACUACUAAUGCAUGAUAUGGAAUGCAAAAAUGUCCGAAUAGCCGUUUAAAUACGGUAUUCGACCUAAUUCGCACUAUUCUCUGUGUAAUUGGCUAAAACCUCCAAUUUAACUCCAAAUCGAUUUCUUUCACUUUCUACACUCCAAUUAUACUUAAAAUACCUCAAUGACUGUGAAUAUAAUUCAAUUUAUCAGUCCGAACCAUAAAUCGCACAUGUCUAUACAUUAGGUAAAAAUUCAGAUUUUCAUGCCAAAAUUUUCCAUUAAAUUUCUAGCCUCACCAAUCAUUAAAUACCACCAAAAUAUCAUGAAAUAUCAUCAAUUUCAGCCUCAAUAUCCUCCCUAGAAAAUUCGGCCUCUUGUGGGUUUGUGAAGAACAAAGUGAUUUCUUGCUAGAUUUUAAUACUUUCCAUUACUAAACAACCAAAAACACUUAAUUAACUUGAAAUCUAGCAAAAUCAAUGCUCAAAACCUCUCCUCUCAAAUUUGGCCAGCAUGGGUUCAUCAUGAAAGCUUGAGUUCUAAGCAUGCAAAAUGAAAAAGAAAGCAUGGGUAGUAUAAAUCACAAGAUAAAAUCACAAAAUUUUACCUUUAUUAGCUUAAUUCCUUGAAAUCUCACACUUUUUCUUCAAUUUUCCCACCUAGGUUUUGUUCUUUCUUUGUUCUUCUUCACUUCAUGCUUUGGCCAG